CCCUGCCGCGCGCUCCUUUCUGCACCGUGCCCCUGGCCCCUUUGCCCGAGCUCGUCCAUAGCCGGCUUCGAGCUCGCCGGCGUUCGGACCGUGGCUUCCUCCUCCAGCUCGGCGCCCAUCUCCCUCCUCUGCUCGACUUUCUUCCUCCCUGCCGAGCUCCUGCUUCCCCUCCGUGGAGCACCCCCCCUGCGCCCUGCUCCUGCUCCCCGAGCUCGCCCUUCUCUCGGCUUCUUCUUCCCACUUCUUCCAGCCGCGCCCCUCAGCUGCCUGCUCUGCUCGCCGCGCGCGCUCCUCCCUACCGUGUUCCUGCUCGGUGCCCAUCUCCCCGAGCUCGCCCCUGCGCCGGUCGCUUCUUUCCCUGCUCCAGCUCGCCGUGUCGUGCGGUCUCUUUCUCUCCCUCUCUCUCUUUCUCUCUGUGUGUGUCCCUGGAUUGCUCGCAUGUGUGGCCGGAGUCGCUCACCUUGAUCUCUGCGCCCAGCUCCUGUCCGCGGCGUCGCGCGCCGUGCGUCUCCCUUUUGUCAACCCGGCGUGGGCUCUAACCGUCAGCUGAGUGCUUGAUGCUCGUGCUCGGUCAUCUGCAGCAGUUCACUUGGUGUCAGCUCGCCGUGGUCAUUGUUUGCUGCUCGUGGCCGUCGUCUCCCUCUCAACAUCCACGUGGACGCUCCCUCGCCGAUCGCCCUCUUCGGAGUUUGCUGAACGCCGCUCCCAGUGGGAAAGCUUUGCAAGUUCGCGCGUCGUUGCCCUCUAUCGCCGGAUGCCAUCCUCAUCUCACCACCUCGUUGCAGUGCCGUUGUUUUCCUCGUCCAGUGCUCGCACGACCUUGCCCGAACCGUGCUGCUGUCUCCCAACCGCUUGCCCUUGCCCCCUGCACGUGCUUGUCGCGCUAGUCAACCCCACCUCGGUCAUUGUCAUCGAUACUGCGCUUGCCGGUGGCCGAAGCUCGCGUCGCCCUCUCCCUCACUGAGUUUGUGUCCUCGCCCUCGCCGGAGCUCGCGCUAACCUGCUCGACCCCACCUCACUAGUUCGCUCUAGACUCGAUCUCGUCGUCGUUCUGUAUGUCAUUAAGAAAUCUCAUGGGUCAGGCGAAGACGAAGCUAAUAGCGUGAUAUUCACUAAGUGCUCGACAAAAAGCUCGAACAAGUCGUCGAUCGUCAUCCUCGUCUACGCCAAGAUCCGAGAAGAUUAGGCGCAGAAGAAAAUAAAUCAGUACGCGAUCGGAGAAUUCUCGAUGUGGAUGAAGAUGAAGCGCGAUUCGACGCAGCACUCACCCUAUUUUCGGUGAAAUGUUGAGCUGAAAGGCAUCGUCGAUUUCGUGGUUUCAAGUCGGAUUUAAUUGAUGGUACGUGAAUUAACCACGUGAUACGGAGAACCAGAGCCGAGUCGACCACAAGAUAAUGUUACGCGUGAGCUUUUCCACAAGAUGAUGUUGACGGAUGAAACUAAAGAUGGACAGACGAAGCAAGUAUCAGAACAAAAGCUGAUCGCCACUUAACAAACACUAACGUAGUGUUUAUUCCAAGCAAGCCUCGGUGCAUUUGCCACCUCCUUGCUGUUUUAAAAUCUUUAUCACCUUGUUUGAUGCAUUAGGUGAUAAGAGUUGUGUACUAAACCGUUGAUGCAUUUCUUUCCUUGAAAAAUUGAUUACCCAUCCUUGAUACCCUUUUUGAGAAGAAUUUUAUGAUGCUUAGCCUUGCUUUAGAAAACAAAAAAAUGUUUUGUUUUAAAACAAAAGUGAUGUUUCAGUGGUUGGAAAUGUUUUC